CUACAACUAUUUCGUAGAGAACAAAAGAGAAUUUACAAGGAUUCUAGCAAUUGAAAACAACUUCAUAGGAAGAUAAACAUCAAUUUGGCUGGAGGUGCGAUGUCGUCACUACGGUGCUAUAUGGUGCAUGCAUUACAUGGGAUACAUGCUGGAGGUGCAAUGAUGCGGUGCUGUGGUGUUGGAAAUGCAGUGCAGUGAACAGCAAUCAAUAGGUCUGCUUGGAGUUGGAGUUGGAGCUAGUGGCCUCAGGCUUAUGUUUUGCGUGUGUGUGUUAUGAGUUAGAUUUAGGGUCUACAAAUGGGUAAAGGUUUGAGGCUUAUUUGUAUAUUUUUAUUCUUAAUUUUCUUAAAUUAAAAAAUUUAACUAGGCACAGAUCAAGGUUUUAGGUUUUUUUGGGUCUUGCCUUGAACCGUGCAUGAAAAUAGCUAUGUAUUGAAAAUCAAUACCCAUAACCGUUUUCUUUAUUAACCCAGGCUAGGUUUUACUCAAAUUGCAUAGGCUAGGUCCAGUUCAGAUCUAGGCUGGGCGGGUUCUUUUGCCACCUCUACACUUCAG
rnacentral:lncRNA from 1 species